ACUUGAGCGCCAGCGAGAGAGCGUUGCCGCAGGCAACGACCCGAAGGGCGAAGCGUGCAGCGCUGAGUAAUCCUUCCCCCACCACCA
rnacentral:sRNA from 1 species